UUCGGAAAGGUAAAUAUUAUAAUAUAUAUUCAUUCUCUUGUAGAGGAAUAGGAGAAGGAGAAAUAUACAGAAUUUUAUUUUUCAUUCUUUAACAUGGUAUCAGAGCAGGCUAAACCCUCGUCGGUAUCAUUGAGUCACCGCCGCUGCCGCCGAGUUCGUCGUCGUUGGGCCGCCUCUAAGUUGCCGCGUGCUGAUUAUGAUCUCGCUUCUUUGUAUAGGAUCUCAGAUUUGAUCUCGUUGGGCCGUUGUCGUUGGCUCGCCAUCAGAUCAGAUUCUGCUUCCCUUCUUUGAAGAUUUUUGAGAGGUUCCAUGGCCGCUGUCGGACGCCGCGAUACUUCAUCGCUGCAGUUAAUUUUAUUUUUCAUUCUUUUACAUGGUAUCAGAGCAGGCUAAACCCUCGUCGGUAUCAUUGAGUCACCGCCGCUGCCGCCGAGUUCGUCGUCGUUGGGCCGCCGCUAAGUUGCCGCGUGCUGAUUAUGAUCUCGCUUCUUUGUAUAGGAUCUCAGAUUUGAUCUCGUUGGGCCGUUGUCGUUGGCUUGCCAUCAGAUCAGAUUCUGCUUCCCCUUCUUUGAAGAUUUUUGAGAGGUUCCAUGGCCGCUGUCAGACGCCGCGAUACUUCAUCGCUGCAGUUAACCGCUGCUGACCCGGGCGGCGAUUGAGCAGAUUCCUUGAAGUUUUUUUAGAAGCUUCAUCUUUUCUACCAAGCUCCGGAGCGGAUUCAUACGAGGAUUUCGGUGGAUGCCCGAUUAAAUCUUGAGCUGAUUCGUUAUAAACCGGAGGUUUGCAGUUUUGGUUUUUUUGUGAGCUCAAAAUCCAAGAAUUGUUCUAUCCAAUUUUUGGUUUUCUUAAUAGAGUUGGCACCUUUGGUACUGUUUUAUUUAAUUAUCGUCAUAAUGUUGAUAGUAAUAUUUGGAUACUUGACUCUGGGGCUACCAAUCACAUGAUAUUCGAUUCCAAUGAUUUCUCA